CUCUGGGCUUAGGAUGAGAAUCCAGCUCUGAUUUACUUGUGAUUAAAUACUAAAAGGAGAGGCGGACAGACCACAGUAAAUUAAAUCCCUCUAAAGGGUGCUUUGUGAUUUAGCCAACUGCAGAAAUGUCCUUCAUUCAAAGCCUUUCUCCUCCUCUACCUACCAGCCCCCCAUUCUUGUUCCUGCUGUCCAACAGGCGUGACUGGACAUCUACUGAAAAGUAAGUGGAAAUGAAAAAGGCAAGGAGUGUAUGCCUAUAGGAACAUCUGUAUAAUUAACGAUGCCUCAUUUGCUAAAACCUGGGCAUGGGUUAGUUUCACAGAUGCUAGAACAUGCAGGCAGCGUGGUGGGGUCAAGGCAUCUCUCAACAGUUCAGGAAACUGCUUUCUACUUGUCCUGAUAACACAACUACUCAUUUGAAAAGCUCGUUCCUCCCAGCGUUCAAAGCUAGGCUUCUCUCUCACUUGAUAAAUUCAAAGUUCUCUGGGAUAUGUAAAGCAGAAACAGGAAAAGCAACGAACAUUGAAAACCUUCAUGGGAAGGGCUUGUGUCAAGUACAGCAAAUCAUUUGAAGACUGUUUUUGAGGUAAAUAUGUCAUUAUGCCCAACCAUAACACUAGAACCUGUGUGGAAAAAGGUGUCAGAGCUUUCAGAACAACAAUGUUCAUCUUUUUAGCAACUGGGUAAAACUUUGAGAUCAGAUGUUCAUGCUUUGGGUGUUUGUGAUAUGGCUCAUGGUGUUCAUGGUUGGUCCAGAGUUGGGUGGCAUUGUUUUGGGACACUGUUCUUUCUUUAAUGAAAGAACCUUCUGUAUAUGGUGCCUGCCUGGCAGAUGUUGACCUGUAGGGGAAAGGGUUAGGGAGUUAUAGGUAGGUGAGAAUUCUCUCUGUAUAGAGAAUAACAGCCAAAUUCUCUGCUUCCUGAAUACCAGGGUAGCCAGCCACCCGUCACUCAGGCUGCCUCCCUGUCUUCCCCACCACAGUGGACCACAUCUCCUGAACUCUAUGAGUCAAAAAAACAAAAACAAAAACAAAAACCUCCCCCUUCCUCAAGUUGCUGCUUUGAGAAAUUCUGUCAGAGCAAAGAGAAAAGUAAUAGCAUACCACCUCAAGUCACAUUUUAUGAAGACUUUGCAAAUGGGAGUACUAUUAAAUAUUUAUAGGACUUUCCAUUUAAAUAGAGUGACCCUUUGUUCCAAAUUUCCAGAGAAAGAAUCAAUCCUGCUUGAUCUGAGAUGAUGAGAUACGAAAAUCUGUACUCCAGUUUUCCCUGGAGGAUAGAAACAAGUCUGUUCAUGGAGUGAAGACGUGCUAAUUUGUUAAAAGUAACUUCACGAUAUAGGAUUUGCAAGCCAACAUGCCCUUAUAUUUUUAAAUUAAAAAAUGAAAAGCUACCAUCAGAGGACAGGAUAUAUAAUCCAUGCAUGAUGUGUCAAGGAGAAGGGAAAGGCUCAUCAUGCCUCUUCCAUGCAUGCAGAGUUAUGAUGUUAACGCCGGCCAAAGGCUCUCUAGAACAACAUGUACAUUACAUACACAAACAAUUUUAGAAUCACGACCUCUGUGAUUGUCACAUCUUUUUGUUAUUGCUUUUUCAUAUAACGGGCACCAGGAGUAUCUGAACCAUGGGGGCAGGGUCUGCAAAGAUGGCCACAAGCAUCAGAAGACCAUUUUAUUGGUGACCCUAGUAGAUCAACAAGUCAUUUUCAGCAAUUUCAUUAUUUUGACUCUUUGCACUCUCCUGGGAGUCAUUUCACAGUCAAGUGUCAAUCAAUAAGGUAUUUACAGGCAUCUUAGUCUGGGCAUUGCAUGGCAAAUCAAUCUCAGGGCAUGGGGCGCCAUGGUUCUUUCAUAACGAGAGCCAUAUGGUCCUUUAGGGUCCUGUGGCGACCUCUUAGAAUGUUGCUAACGCUGACAUCAAUACCAAUAAUAGCAAGGCUGUAAUGUGAUUACUUAGUGCUUCUGCAUGGCUCUGAUAACUGUGCAAAGGGGAAGCGGACUCGGCAGAGUGGCUGCCUGGAUGGCCUGCUGCUCUCAAGUCCUAUGUUCCCAUUGUACUUAUGGUGUAAUAGUGUUGUGCCUUCUCCUGGGAACAUUAUUAUUAUUGUUAUGUUUCCUUUCAGAUUUGUCAUCUACUGCCGUCUUGAAAACAGAAUUUGGUCUCUGUGGUGAUACUGUGAUAGAGAAAAGAACACAUGUAUCUGACGGUCAUAAAAGACAACCAACACUCCAGUUGAUUUAGCUACAGAACUUUGAAGGUUGUGGCUGGGGAUCAGUGUCUUUCUCAGCCAUCACCAGAGAAGCUUCCUCCUACAGGAGAUGGGAACAAAUACCGAGACCCAGAGAAUCUGCAGAAACCUUGGAGCAAUGCUGUGGAACAAUCCUUUUCUAUACUAUGAAUAUGUGUUACCCUCAUUGGCUAAUAAAAAGCUGACAGGCCAGUAGCUGGGCAAGCCAGGAGAGACACCAGCCAGCCACUGAGCAAGCAGGGCAUAUAAAAAAUGAGGUAACAAGCCUUGAGUCACAUGGCAAAGCAUAAAUAGGACUAUGGGUUAAUUUAAAUGUAAGAGUUAGCUAGUAACAAGCCUGAGCUAUUGGCCAAGCAUUCAUAUUCAGCCUUUGAGUCGAUUAUUUGGGACUGGGCAGUCGGGAUAGGAUACAUGCAUUUACACACUGAUUCCUAAAUGUGAUGUCUCCAUCAAAUCCUUCCCUCAGAGCUCAGGGAACCCUUCAGAAGAGGAAGUGGAAAGGGUGUAAGAGACACAAGGAAGCGGUGUCUUCUAGACAUAACAGGACCGGCACACACAUGAGCUCACAGACUCUGUGGCAGCGUGCACAGGUCCAAGCGCUGAGAGGGGAAGCAGACACAUCCCUCCUACCUAACCCAGAACCUAGCUCCAAUUGACAAGUGCUCACAAAGGAAAAAUGAGUUUUCUCCAGCAGUCUCCCUGGGUAUACAAACCACACCUAAGGGCAAGACUCACACUCAGCAGUAGAUGGUCAACACAAAACUCAAUGGUAUUUUUGGAGAUUUUUAAAAUUGUUUCGGCAUUUUUUCGCCUUGCUUCAGAAAAUGUGUUAGAAUUAUCAGACAUCUAAUGUGAAAUGGGGGAAAGAUCCGAUAGUUAAGAGUAAAGAUCAAGGAAUUAAAAAAAAAAAAA